UGAGUACGAGACGCUAAGGCGUUGAAGCAGUCUAUGUCAGACUUCCAAGAAAAGCUCGCAAUGUCAUAAACAACAAAUGCCUGUACCAUAACCGACACAGGUGGGUAGGUAGAGUAUACUAAGGGGCGCGAGAUAACUCUCUCUAAGGAACUCGGCAAAAUGACUCCGUAACUUCGGGAGAAGGAGUGCCUUCUUGAAGAAGGUUGCAAUAACAAGAUCCAAGCAACUGUUUACCAAAAACACAGGUCUCCGCUAAGUCGUAAGACGAUGUAUGGGGGCUGACGCCUGCCCAGUGCCAGAAGGUUAAAGAAGUUGGUUAGCCUAGCGAAGCUGAUGACUGAAGCCCUGGUGAACGGCGGCCGUAACGAUAACGGUCCUAAGGUAGCGAAAUUCCUUGUCGGGUAAGUUCCGACCCGCACGAAAGGCGUAAUGAUUUGGAUACUGUCUCGGAGAGGGGCUCGGUGAAAUAGACUUGUCUGUGAAGAUGCGGACUACCUGCACCUGGACAGAAAGACCCUAUGAAGCUUUACUGUAACUUGAGAUUGAAAUUGGACUUUAUUUGCGCAGUAUAGGUGGGAGACUUUGAGAAUAUUCUUGCGGGAAUAUUGGAGUCAUCAGUGAGAUACCACUCUUGUAAUGUUAGAUUUCUAACUUUGGAUCAUUAUCUGGUCAAAGGACAGUUUCAGGCGGGCAGUUUGACUGGGGCGGUCGCCUCCCAAACGGUAACGGAGGCGCACAAAGGUUUCCUCUGAACGUGUAGAAAUCGUAUCUAGAGUGUAAAGGCAUAAGGAAGCUUGACUGUGAGACCUACAAGUCGAGCAGGGACGAAAGUCGGUCUUAGUGAUCUGACGGUGCUGAGUGGAAAGGCCGUCACUCAACGGAUAAAAGUUACUCUAAGGAUAACAGGCUGAUCUCCCCCAAGAGUUCACAUCGACGGGGAGGUUUGGCACCUCGAUGUCGGCUCAUCGCAUCCUGGGGCGGUAGUACGUCCCAAGGGUUGGGCUGUUCGCCCAUGAAAGCGGUACGCGAGCUGGGUUCAGAACGUCGUGAGACAGUUCGGUCCAUAUCCGGUGUAGGCGUUAGAAUAUUGAGAGGAGCCUUCUUUAGUACGAGAGGACCGAGAAGGACAUACCUCUGGUGUACCAGUUAUCGUGCCAACGGUAAACGCUGGGUAGCUAUGUAUGGAGUGGAUAACCGCUGAAAGCAUCUAAGUGGGAAGCCCACCUCAAGAUAAGUAUUCUC
rnacentral:rRNA from 1 species